rnacentral:rRNA from 1 species
GUAAUGCGUGACCGACCUGCCCCGUACACCGGAAUAGCUCCUGGAAACGGGUGGUAAUGCCGGAUGUUCCAGUUGAUCGCAUGGUCUUCUGGGAAAGAUUUUAUCGGUAUGGGAUGGGGUCGCGUCCUAUCAGGUAGUCGGCGGGGUAACGGCCCACCGAGCCUAUGACGGGUAGCCGGCCUGAGAGGGCGACCGGCCACAUUGGGACUGAGAUACGGCCCANNCUCCUACGGGAGGCAGCAGUGGGGAAUAUUGCACAAUGGGCGCAAGCCUGAUGCAGCGACGCCGCGUGCGGGAUGACGGCCUUCGGGUUGUAAACCGCUUUUGAUUGGGAGCAAGCGAGAGUGAGUGUACCUUUNNAAUAAGCACCGGCUAACUACGUGCCAGCAGCCGCGGUAAUACGUAGGGUGCAAGCGUUAUCCGGAAUUAUUGGGCGUAAAGAGCUCGUAGGCGGUUCGUCGCGUCUGGUGUGAAAGUCCAUCGCUUAACGGUGGAUCUGCGCCGGGUACGGGCGGGCUGGNGUGCGGUAGGGGAGACUGGAAUUCCCGGUGUAACGGUGGAAUGUGUAGAUAUCGGGAAGAACACCAAUGGCGAAGGCAGGUCUCUGGGCCGUUACUGACGCUGAGGAGCGAAAGCGUGGGGAGCGAACAGGAUUAGAUACCCUGGUAGUCCACGCCGUAAACGGUGGAUGCUGGAUGUGGGGCCCUUUCCACGGGUCCCGUGUCGGAGCCAACGCGUUAAGCAUCCCGCCUGGGGAGUACGGCCGCAAGGCUAAAACUCAAAGAAAUUGACGGGGGCCCGNNCAAGCG